UACGUAGGGUGCAAGCGUUGUCCGGAAUUAUUGGGCGUAAAGAGCGUGUAGGCGGCCCGAUUAGUCCGCUGUGAAAGUCCAGGGCUCAACCCUGGAAUGCCGGUGGAUACUGUCGGGCUAGAGUCCGGAAGGGGCGAGUGGAAUUCCUGGUGUAGCGGUGAAAUGCGCAGAUAGCAGGAGGAACACCAAUGGCGAAGGCAGCUCGCUGGGACGUGACUGACGCUGAGACGCGAAAGCGUGGGGAGCAAACAGG
rnacentral:rRNA from 1 species